UAGUCAAUCUGAGUCCUCGCCGCCGAACUCUUGAAGGUGACCAAAUGCUCCUCCCUCUUCCAUAAUGUCGAGUACGCAAUCAGGAGCUCGGAGGCCCUGGCGAAAUCAAGCAGCGAAGUGCCUCCUCCGUUCCUGUCACCAAAGCCAAAGCCCCCGUGUACCUCGUCAUAUCCACCAGCCUCAGCCCCAAUAUGACCAUUAAAGUCCCCUCCAAUAACUAAC
rnacentral:lncRNA from 1 species